AGCGUCAACGAGGGAACAGAUCGACAAGCGACCAGGGCCUCUAGCGCAGAACAUUUGAGUUCUAGUGACGCUGGGACUGAGGGCUGUCCUUCACCUGACUCCGGCAUCGUGACCAUGCAGCAUGAGGACGAACUGGACAAACAGUCUUGUUGCUGGAUGGACCUGUUUUGUUUUGGAGGAAGAGGUCACAGCUCACAGAAGGGUGCUUGGCAAUAGGGACAUCAGAAUUGCCAAAGGAAUUGAAAAAUCUGAUUGUGAGACUUCACAAAGAUGGAAAAGGAUACAGGAAGAUCGGUGACCAACUAAACAUCAGUCGAAACACAGUUGCAGCAGUAAUCAGGAGGUAUAGAACAAGCCAUAGUACCACUAAUCAGAGCCGCAGUAGCCGUCCUCCUAAAAUGACGCCACAGACAGUGCGCUACUUGUACAAUGUAGCUCUGAAAAAUGGAAGGGCAAGUGCUUCAGACUUGCCACAGGGGUUAUCAAUGGAAAUCUGAGUUUCUGUGAUAGCUCAGACAGUGCGAAGGACAUUGCAUAACGUUACCCUCUAUGGACGGCGUCCAAGAAAAAAACCUUUGCUUGCUCUUCGGCACAAAACUGCAAGGAUAAACUUUGCUAAAGAACAUGAAAAGAAGCCUGAUGAGUAUUGGAAGCACAUUCUUUGGUCAGAUGAGUCCAAGAUAAAUUUGUUUGGCUCGGAUGAGGUCCAGCAUGUUUGGGGUGAACCUGGCCAGGACUACCACAAUGAAUGCAUAGUCCCAACAGUGAAGCACGGAGGUGGGAGUGUGAUGAUAUGGGGCUGCAUGAGCGCAAAAAGUGUUGGGGAGAUGACACUUAUAGAUGGCACCAUGAAUGCCUGUGGAUAUACCAAAAUACUGGCUGACAAGAUGACUCCCAGUCUCCAGAAGCUUGGCAGAAGAGGAAUAUUCCAGCAUGAUAACGAUCCAAAGCACACUACCAAAAUCACGCAAGAGUUUCUAAAGAAGACAAAAGUGAAGACUAUGACUGUAGAAGAGGGCCACAGGUUUCUGUUUCUGUCUUUGUCUUUGUUUGCGCACCACCCCCGCCUCUCACAGGCACUUGUUUACAACUCGGUUGAAACCUGCCCAACUGGUUGUUGAACUGUAGAGAGAGAAGGGUGUGUGUGCAUGUUAAUUAAGAUAGUGUGUCCUUGAUUUCCAUAGCCAUUAAUGCAGUCAAAGCCUGUAUGUCCCAUACAAUGUUAUCCCGGUGCAAUGUACUUUGCAGCACUGCUUGAAUGCCUGUUUGUAUAUUGCACAUUCAAUGUAACCAUCAGUCCUGAUUUAUUCUCCCUGCUUACUCCUUGCAGGAAACCACACACAUACAACACAAACCCUCACAU